rnacentral:rRNA from 1 species
UACAACUUUCAGCAGCGGAUCUCUUGGCUCUCGCAUCGAUGAAGAACGCAGCGAAAUGCGAUAAGUAAUGUGAAUUGCAGAAUUCAGUGAAUCAUCGAAUCUUUGAACGCACCUUGCGCUCCUUGGUAUUCCGAGGAGCAUGCCUGUUUGAGUGUCAU